rnacentral:rRNA from 1 species
GAUCAUGGCUCAGGACGAACGCUGGCGGCGCGCCUAACACAUGCAAGUCGAGCGAUGAAAUUUUAACCGAUCUCUUCGGAGAGAAGAUAAAAUGGAUUAGCGGCGGACGGGUGAGUAACACGUGAGAAACCUGCCUUUCACAAGGGGAUAGCCUCGGGAAACCGGGAUUAAUACCCUAUAACACAUUUCCUUCGCAUGAAAGAAAUGUUAAAACUCCGGUGGUGAAAUAUGGUCUCGCGUCUGAUUAG